rnacentral:rRNA from 1 species
UACGUAGGGGGCAAGCGUUGUCCGGAAUCAUUGGGCGUAAAGAGCGUGUAGGCGGCUCGGUAAGUCCGCUGUGAAAGUCCAGGGCUCAACCCUGGAAAGCCGGUGGAAACUGUCGAGCUCGAGUCCGGAAGAGGCGAGUGGAAUUCCUGGUGUAGCGGUGAAAUGCGCAGAUAUCAGGAGGAACACCAAUGGCGAAGGCAGCUCGCUGGGACGGCACUGACGCUGAGACGCGAAAGCGUGGGGAGCGAACAGG